GGAGCAGUCAGUCUUAAUAUAGCAACGGGCACGACGUUCGGCUUUUUAAACUGCGUAUGCGUGGGUGGUACAUGAUCACAGGGCUGAGUUUUGAGCGUGUGUUAUAUCGGGACUCCUCUCAAAUUCACUUCACUAACUUGUGUCAAAUCCCAAAACAUCCUGUGCUAACUUUACGCCUACGGGGCACCGAGCUAAGCUAAACGCUAGCUCGCUAACUAGUGGGAGGAAGCUGCUACUCGCUUUGCCACAAUUUAAAUGUCUUUGUUCGCGUAGGUUAAUGGCCCCGGGUCUCUAACCUAAAAUGUCUGUUUCUGGAAUGUGAAAGGAAGCAUGGGGAGAACAUGCAAACUCAACACAAGAAGGCAGCAACCUGGAUUCAAACCCACGACCUUUGAACUGUUAGGCAGACAUGCUAAUAUAAUACGUAUUAAAUGUAUAAUAUAUAUGAUUAAUAAAUAUAAUACAUAAAUUUGUCA